AGCAGCAGCCGCGGGAAUACGAAGGGUGCAAGCGUUAAUCGGAAUUACUGGGCGUAAAGCGUGCGUAGGCGGUUUGUUAAGUCUGUUGUGAAAUCCCCGGGCUCAACCUGGGAAUGGCAAUGGAUACUGGCAAGCUAGAGUGUGUCAGAGGAUGGUGGAAUUCCCGGUGUAGCGGUGAAAUGCGUAGAGAUCGGGAGGAACAUCAGUGGCGAAGGCGGCCAUCUGGGACAACACUGACGCUGAGGCACGAAAGCGUGGGGAGCAAACAGGAUUAGAUACCCGAGUAGUCCCUGUCUCUUAUAC
rnacentral:rRNA from 1 species